CUUUCUAGGGUGACCACUAAUGUUACAGAGGGUGAAGGCACCAUCGGUGGGGUCCCUGGGUGAGAGCGACAGGAGCAGGGUAUCUUGCCAAGCGGGGGUGGGCACGGAGCAUCAGAAAGAAAUGAGCUGUUACUACGCUGAGCCACUGAGGUUUCACGGUUGUUAUCCAUCAUCCAGCCCGUCCUCACUAAUAUACCUGCCUCGCCAGGAAAAGAUAGAAUCCAGGUGAAGCAAGACUUGGCUUGUGCCCAUUCGUACUGUCCGCCCGAUGCUUUGGUGUUGUGUUCAGCUGGGAUCUCCCCAUGAGCUGCAAGCUGUAUGGGCUUGCACAGACCAAGAGGCUUACAGUGGAAAGAGAGGAUGCCUGCAUCUAGAACCUUCUUCCCAUCUCUUUUCAAGGCACCAAUUUGUGACUGGCUCUCUGGAAGACAUCCCUCCACCCCUGACUUUAAUUGAAGCAAGAAGAGAGCUACGUUCUUCUUCCACUAGACCACUGGAUUGUGAAUUCCAUAAGGGCAGAACUUUCUCAAUGGCUGCACCCCCAGUGCCUAGAACACUACCUGGAACAGGUACCUAAUAAAUAUUUACUGAAUGAAAGAAAGAUGGUAGGGCUUUUAGUAAACCCUGGAGAGAGAUGUCUGGCCUCAAUUGUUGGUGGCUCUCCUCAGAAUAUGGGCUACUGCAGUCUUCAGCUAUGGUCUCUAGUGCUAAUGUGUGGCAACAGGAAAAGUCCCCUUCAACACUGUGGCACAUAUCUGUUAACUCCAAAAAAGUAAAAUAAAAUAAAAAAGUGUGUGCGUGUGUGUGUGUGCGCGCGCGCGCGCAUGCUAUCAAGUAGGAGCACUUACAACUUAAGUAAAGGAAAAGGAGUAUCUGGGAAAAUCAGGGUAUUAUCCAACAUAUUUCGUUUAUUCCACUACAGGAUGGUCUCAUGCUCCAUUACAUGUUUAUUCUGCAAGCCGGAUAAUACAUUUAUUUUGAUUCCGACUCAUUCUUUUCCAGAAACAUGGCUUCUGUAAAAAAAAUUCUUCAAAAUGAUAAUAAACACCACAGUUUACUCUUUUGACAAACAUGCAUUGAAUGAAGUGUCCUGGGAGGAUAGAGUUCUUACCAAUAUCACCAAGAACAACCAUUUGUAGCUUUCUACUGCAGCAGUUUCACAAAACUUACUCUGACGAUUUAAAUUCCUAUCUUAAAGAUGCAAAAUUUACUUCGACAAAUCUCUAAAAAGUUUAAAAAUAGAGGUCAGCUGAAAACCACAAAUCAUGAAACUCAGAUUGCAAUAAUUUUUUUAAGUAGUGAAACAACACCUACAAAUAAGCAGGUACCUCCGACUCUAGUUUUGAGGCAUCAAUCUACCACAGAAGAGGAAUCAUGGUCUGACGCAAAUAUGGCAAAAUAUUUUUUUAAAACUUAGUGAAGACAAAUUUUGAUCAAAGUCAUUCAUCCUUACUUGCCACAUGGGCCUCAGAAAAUAAAAUCUAUCAAAAAUAUAACAUUUAACAUAAAUAUUACUUUUAGAUUGGCAUGAUUGGUGGCUGAAACAGUAUUUUAAAUUUCCCAGAUAUUAACAUACAAAUGCACGAAUUCAAUCAAAACUCCAGGAAGAUAUUCAGGGAUUUAAAAGAAUAAAUACACAUCAGAGAGCUCCUAUGAAACGUUAAAAGAAAAAAAAAUUCCUGCCUACUUUAAUAACAAUCAGUCUUAUGCAAACUUCAAAGCAAAACCACUAACUGAGUAAAACUGAAGAUGACAGCUUCUGCCCUUGUCCUUUCGUUAAUAACUUUUAAGAUAUGUUCAUAAAUGUUAUUAAUCUAAGAUAAAAGAAAACAGAAAAUGAGACUAAGUGAACAUAAAACUGGCUAAAUUAAAUGUGUCUUAUGGGGGGGCAUCAACUUUCAAACGUAAUGUUUCAAACUUUUGACUUUCUGGUUUAGGGAGAGGACAGUAGUGUUUAUGAGGUAUGUCGCCAUCUUAGACUCACAACUAUUACGCAUAAGUCACUGAAAAUUAAGAUGACAGUAAUAUGCCAGUGUCAUUUGUAAGCAAAAUAGCUUACGGGUAAAAAUUUAUAGCAAACUAAAAUUUUUACACUUAGGGGACUACAGUAAAAUGAAUUUUUCAUGAAGGCUUUUUUUUUUUUUUUUUUUUGGUCUGAGAAUGGCACCAAAUUAGAUUUUUAAAAAUUGUUUUGGUACCAACUAAUUUAAUAGAGAACAUGGCAUCAAACUUGUAUUUGUAAUACCACCUUGUAAAAUGAGCACAUUCCCAACGUUCCCAGAACUUUCCAGCGUGGGCUUGGAACAAGCUAUUGCUAUCACCUCUCACAGAGGCAAACACUUUUGGUGAGAUCUUCCCUUGAACCAAACACCUGCUUGCUGAGUGCGCCACCACUAAUGCGGACAUGGGAGCGGAAGCAAGGACUGGACAUUGAGGGGUUCACCUUAACUGGCCAAUCUCACUUUGCAUCUCCUGGGAAGCCAGGAGGUUGUGGUCUCUUGUGGAAACUUGGGGAUCAGAAUGUGAGCUCUGGCUUGAAUACUAUACAUUAAUAUGUAGUAGUUUUGCUAGCAAAUCUUAACAUUUUAUUUUUCAGGAUGAAAUUUCACCUCAGCCUUAAAUGAUCCAAUUUUAAUAAGGAUAAAAGGAAAAAUGCAUCUUCAAUUACUUAUCAAAUGAAAGACAUACUAUUGGUUUACCUCCUGUGGAAAAGUAACAAAAAAGCAUAUGGCUGUUAAAUUCAAUGUGCUCUUGCGGAACUUUCCGUAAAAUGUUUUUAGCAAGUGACUGGCACAUGCUGUUAUUCAGAGGAGCUAAUCCACUGGAUGAUUAUCCUGAAAUUAUUUUGUAUUAGUAUACAAUAUCACGUAACUUCCAAUCCUUAAGAAAUGACCCAACAGACCUAGUACCAACAAAUGUCAGAAUUCUCCAAAGCAUUCUUAGACAAAAAUAUUGUGAGAGAAAUUUCCUUUGCCUCAUUAGAUUCAGAGCAGGAGGAAAUCAUUUUGAAAGAUACUGCAUGCAGAGGAAUUACCUUCAAACUGACUUAAAUAUUGCAAAUAUUGUAAUCUGGUCUACACAACACUGUCCGUUUUUGGGUUCCCAUGACACCACCCCAUUUUUAGUUAGGAAGAUCCAGGUGAAUGAAACUCUUCCUGCUCUAAGUUCUUUUAACCAAAAUGCAUAAUCUUCUGUCAGGCAGGCCCACUCCAGCCCUGUGGUCACCAAUCCGCACAUCUCUCCUGCUCACCCAGAAGGAAGAAACAGGCACUGGCCCCUCCUCAGAGAUAAGCUCAAGGCCUCCUCUCAACCCUACUCAUUCCAGAGUCUUCUAUGUAGACCACCCUCACUCUCUUAGCCCAUCUGACAGAAAAGCUGACUGUGCUUGACCAUGCUGUCCAAGAAAGGAGAGAGGACUCUAAAAUACUGAGGCAGUGGCAGAUUUUGUCAGCUAUCUCCUAGUUUUCUAUAGUUUUUCAAUCACUAGAAAUUUUGUUUUUUAUUGACCUUUAAUGAAUGUCAUCCUGAAUUAUACCAACUAAAAAUGAAGAGGGCAGAUUUCCUACUAGGUAGUUUUGCUAGGUCAACAGCAGUGGGAGUUUCCCCAUUCCCUGCCAAAUCUCUGCUCUGAGUAUAAAAAUGAAGGCACUGUUUAUUGAUUUUUAAGUAGUGGGUUUUUAACUUUGCAGAAUGAUGAAGUACUGAAUAAUUGGUAACUAUUUUGCAAAAUCUCUUAAAUCUCAUUAAGAAAUUAACUUAUAGGAUAACUGAGAGCAGCAAAAGUGGAAGCAGUAGGAUAGAAUACAAUUAAAUCCUCCUAAAUCAACUGAAUUGUGACCACCGUGAUUUCUAAUUGGGUGAGCCUCUUUUAAAAGGUCAGGGGUAACAUGAAAAGCUCAAUUGGCUCAGCGUUAACAGGUUUACAAAGGAGGGGAAUAGGUUUCCAGCUCAAUCCCUGGUCCCUGAGAAGGCAGAUGGGCCAAUAUCAGAUCAAUGGUGAUUGGAACCGAGAAAGCAUGACACCACUGAGUUCUACAGGUAAUGAUUAGUGGCAGUUCCUGAACCCCUCUCACAAGGGCAAGCUCUCAGUCGCUAAGGAAGGGCUAGGUCGCUGGCUAUCGGCACCCUCUAGUGGCCAGAUUUGGCACCACAGGUUGUCUGCCUUCUCAGAGCAGAGACCUGCUUCCAUUUUUUUUUUUUUUUCUUUAAAGCAUAGUAUACAGUAUUUCAGAAUCUUUUUUGGUUAGAGAAACAAUCACCACUACCAUUUCUGGGCUACAGGUAUGUGGCCAACUACUUACUAGGUGUAAAUUUGGAACCCCCCAAAGUAAGCUAUUAUAAUGAUUCAAAGAGAGAAAAUGUUCUUCCAAAGGUAUUUAAAAUCUCGUGGGUGAAGCUACUUAACUGAAAAGAUCCGGUCAGAACUUGGCUAUUUAUAAUUUAAUCUCCUGAAGGUACUUAUUUUAUAAGCAAUAGUAUUUUAUAUAUUGAUUCAUAUCACUAUAAAUUUCAUACACAUCACAGCUCACAUCUAUUGAGCACAUGGCACUGGCAGACACUACGCUGUUAAAUGACUCUGCUGUCAUCUGAAGGGCACUGUUCUGUGAAACAGUACUGUUAACACCACCAUUUUUCUGAGUUAAAAUUGUCAAGGGCACCAAGAAUUUAAACUUACCCAAGACACUUAGCUGCUAAAAGGCAUGGCCAGGAUUCGAAUCCAAGGCAGCCUAAUUUCAGAGCUGGCACUUUGAAACAUUACCCUAUACAGAGAUACAUAGUUUAUCAGCUGCAGUAAUUUUCCCCCCAAAAGAGAUGGUUUCUUAGAGAUUUUUAAAUUAGAUGUAGAUUAGCACAGAAACUUAUGAGUCAGUGAUGCUUAAGUGGUAAGUGAAAGCCCUGUGCUAGCUGUGUUCAUUUCUUAUCACGCUUAUUCAAGUGUGCUUUGGAGUCAAAGGGGAGCUUGUAAUUGGCCAGGAGAGCCUGGGGUCUAAUAUUUUUCACAUCAUAAUACAUUUUAAAAUAUUUUACACUUUACAUGUUUACAGACAUAUCAGAUGGACCUCAUAGUAAUUCUGUGAAAUGGGACAGAUAACCUGGAAAUAGGCAUUAUUCUGACUUUAUAGAUAAGAUUAAUGAGGUUUAGGGGCGCCUGGGUGGCUCAGUUGGUUGGGCCUCCGACUUCGGCUCAGGUUAUGAUCUCACGGUCUGUGAGUUCGAGCCCCGCGUUGGGCUCUGUGCCAACAGCUCAGAGCCUGGAGCCUGCUUCGGAUUCUCUGUCUCUGUCUCUCUCUGACCCUCCCCCGUUCAUGCUCUGUCUCUGUCUCAAAAAUAAACAUUAAAAAAAAAAUUAAUGAGGUGUAGAAUGAUUUAGUGGCUUCCUUAAAUAACACAAUUUCCUCAAAAUCUAAGAUCUCAAAUGACUGAAUGUACAAGGUAUUAUGCUAAGUCUACAAUCUUUAUCUUCCGUUACACGGAAAAUAAAAAUGAGAAUUUUCACAGUAAACCGAAAGAUGUUUUACUUAUGCCAAAAAUUUGGUUUCAUAUUAUUUCUGCUUUGUUUACAAGAAAUAAUUUUAUACUAAUUACUAUAGCUGAACUAGCAAAAAUCCACAGAAAGAAGGUAAAUGAAAAUCAGUAGGUAAAAAGCAAUAGAAAAAAAAUAACAGCUCUGGAUCAUAAAAUCCAUACUAAAUUGGGAGCAAAAUGGCCCCCGAAUUAUGAGGUUAAGAUGAAUGAUUAUGCAAGCACUUAGCAUUUUAAAAUUCUUUAAUUUUGUAAAGUACCUUCAAAAAUGUGUUACUUUUUGAUAACCCCUGAGAGAUCAUUAGGAGGCAUAAUAGCCUUUAUUUAUAUGGCAGAUAAAGAACAGAUCAAAAGUACUAUGAAAGGAAGCUAUUACUUUUGAUUAAAAGAAAGUAGCUUGUGAUUCUCGUAACAAGACAAAGCUCCAAGUUCUUUCUGAAUAGAAAGCAAUGCAGUGUAGAAACAUUCCUGCCCACCCAUCUUCCAUACACUCUGAUUUAAGGGAGGAUUCAUACCUCCCUUCUGAUCCAAGGCCAGAUUGCCAGGGGUGGUCUUAGAAACCUAACUAUAUGGUUCUCUUUCUUUGUGCACCAUCAAACUCUUUAAGCAUCAAAACUGAAAUACUUUCCAAAUACAUCCUGUCUUAAACACAGCAAACCACCCCUCUAGUUGCCAUACUUCUCUUCUCUUUUCUCCUCUUGAAAGUCAAACGUCUCAGAUGUGUGGAGAAAAAGUGUCUACUUUCUAAAAUGGUAACCACACUUCAACUCACCUCACACUGUUUCUGCCCCCUCAUGUUCUCCACACCACUCUUCUUAAGUCACUAAAAUCAAAUGAAUUUUUAUAGUUUUUAUCUUGUUUGACCCUCCCCCCCCACCCUGCCAAGCUGCACUUUACACUACUGUUCACUCCCUCCUCCUCCUUCUUCAGGUCCUAACCUAGCAAUUAGCAGGUGCCUAAUAAAUUCUUGUUCAAUAAGCUAAAAGAACUAAGCAUAAAUAUGCCCCCAUAGUCCAAGAGUUUUCCUAGUCUUGUAAAUAUCUUUUCAGGGUCUGCAGUUUCUCUUGAUUCUGUUGAAUUUUGAGGUGGAAUUUUGCCUUGACCAGACACUGAAAAGCUUGAAUUCUUAGUAAUCAAUGUGUAAUUUGUUUAAAGAGCUGCCUAUCACAGACAAAAGAGUAGAUGCUACUAUUUUAGUAAUAUCUGCUAAUAGUAGAUAGUAGCAAGGGAUGAUGCAUCAUCACCCUGGCUGUGACUCAUAAAUAAUACAUUAAUAAUGAGUGCCAUUUUACGUUUCAAAAACCACUGUGGAAGAUUCUGUGUAUCAAUUUAUCAGUGUUUAUCAUCACUAUGGCACAUUUAAAGGUAUGCAGAACAAUUCAAUAUUAAUCAUUAAAGACGUUACUGUGAUGGCGUUUCGUGAAAUCAGAAUUCAUCCGUGUACCCACAUUCAACAAACUAAAAUGUCUUGAUCAAUAUAUUACCACAAUUUUCAUAUUAGGAGCCUCAAUUCAAAUCGUUGACAUCUUACUGUUGGGUAGAGGCCAGAGGUUGGUAGACUCUCAGGUUCAAGUGCCUGAAAGGCUUCUGCUUAACAUGUGAAUAUCAACUUGGUCAGAGAUACCAAGAACAGUGGCCAGAAGAGGAGGCAGAAUGUACAAUACCUAUCUACAUAAGAAAUAAUGAGGGAAAAGACCAUGAUAACAGAGAUGGUUUAUCUUAGCUUACCUCAAAAGCCUUUCAUUUCUCAAGCACAAUGAAGCAGUGUUAGAGUUGACUGCAAUAGGUUUUUUACUAGAUUGUUCUGAAGGCUGCUAUGUUUUGGAAAGUAAAAAAUCAUAGUUAUCAGAAACAUUAAUCCAUAAUAAGAUUAAAUACUAUCUGAAGAAAAUACCCCCAGGUCAUAUAACAAAAAUGAGGUCUGAGCAGAAAAAGCAUGCAUCUGAAAUAUUUAAACAUAAAGACAAUUAAAUCUUUUUUUUAAGUUUUUUUUUUUAAU